CACAAACAGUAUUUUCAGCAUAGAAAAUUCGUGGGUUUCAAUACCAAUAUGAAUCUUUUUACGAGAACAACAAAAUAACUCACAUCUAAAAAGCGAAAUAAAAAUUACCGAUAUUCCAAAGCUGGCAACUUGUAGCAUAUCGACAGCGAUUCGUAGAGAAUUUAAAAAUUCAAAAUGUUUUUAUCAAGAUACUAAGAUUUAUUGUAUGAUGUUUUACAAAGUGUAAAACCAGGCUAAUUUUGUGGAAGAGUAUGAUGUUCCAAUUUCGUCAUUCUUAAGGCAAGAUAAGGAUUCUUUAGCAAGGAGGAAUGGAACUAAAUUCUUGAGUAUUUAACAUUUUCGGCUUCAUUUCUCAGUCAGCGAUUUGAAUCAAUGAGUUGAUUAAAGUCUCAUACAGAAAAUCUUCGACAAUGUAUCCAGUGGGCAAAGCAGAAAAAUGUUGAAUUCAUAAAACUUAUUGAAUGAACUUCAGGAAGAAGCUAUCAAAUAUAAUCUUCGUAUUCCAAAAAAGCUAACGACGAUUCAUCAAUUUUUUAAAUAGCUAUAAAAACUUAUAUUACUGAUAUACAAAUAUUUUGAUCUCAUGAAUUGGCUUUUUAAGAAUAUUACUUCCUUUGAGGUAACAUGAAAUACUUUGAAUUGUUCCGUUUUUAACAAACAAUUCAAUAAACAAUGUAUUAUUCGGCAA